UACGUAGGUGGCAAGCGUUUGUCCGGAUUUAUUGGGCGUAAAGCGCACGUAGGCGGAUUGUUAAGUCAGGGGGUGAAAUCCUGGAGCUCAACUCCAGAACUGCCUUUGAUACUGGCGAUCUUGAGUCCGGGAGAGGUGAGUGGAACUGCGAGUGUAGAGGUGAAAUUCGUAGAUAUUCGCAAGAACACCAGUGGCGAAGGCGGCUCACUGGCCCCGGGUACUGACGCUGAGGUGCGAAAGCGUGGGGAGCAAACAGGG
rnacentral:rRNA from 1 species